UCAGUCGGCCGGACGGCCGUCCCGGCAAGGACCGAAAGGUCGCCGGGGAGGAAAGUCCGGGCUCCAUGGACAUGCGGUGCCGGAUAACGUCCGGCGGGGGUGACCCCAGGGAAAGUGCCACAGAAAACGCAAACCGCCGUGGGCGAAAUCCCGCGGCAAGGGUGAAACGGUGCGGCAAGAGCGCACCGCGCCUGCGGCGACGCAGGCGGCACGGCAAACCCCACCGGGAGCAAGACCGAAUAGGGGCGGCACGGGGAGAAAUCCCCGGAUCGAUGUCCGGAUCGGCCGCCCGGGUAGGUUGCUCGAGACGCCGGGCAACCGGCGUUCCAGAGGAAUGGCCGUCACGCGCAAGGUGCGUUGUUUGCUUUGCGCCGUACAGAACCCGGCUUACAGGCCGGCUGGCGUG
rnacentral:RNase_P_RNA from 1 species